ensembl:lncRNA
CCCACCUCUGCUGAGAGGAGACGCUUUCCCAUUUUUUUUUUACUAUUCAUUCUUUCUGAUCCAGAAUCGUUUUCAGCUAGCUGCAGACGUGCUUUGUUUGAAUACUACGAAAACCAAACAUAUUUUCGUUAUUUGGUAGAAAGGAAUUUUUUUACAAUUAUUUCAAGUAGCCACGGUAUUUUGUAGGAUACAGAUUUCUCUCCAAAUAUUUGCUGGACACAGUUGUAGGCUGUUGAAGGACAAAUGUUUUGAACGCCAAUAGUAUAUGAAACCAACCUAGUUUUUGCAGUUCAUAAAUUAUAAAGCUUUUGUUUUAGAAUUUGCUCCGUUGCUGAAUCGUCCUUUGGAUACGAAUUUGCACUUGAUGGAAAGUGAACUAUACGGAAAUGAAAACUCUUGAUCUCUUCGAUUUGAAGGAGGAUUGAAAGUGAGCGGCCCUACCGGUGAAGAUGGUUCCCAGUGUGUGCGGUGUGCCCUUGGCUGUGGUGGUUUUGUUGAUCCUGGUGUCUCCUGGUGCUGCGUGUCCGCGGUCCUGCUCCUGCUACCAGCCCACAGAGCUACACUGCACCUUCAGAUCCCUGCUAACCAUACCACAAACCAUACCACAACACACAGUACACAUCAACCUAGGGUAAGGCCUGAACACAACAAUACACACAUACACGCACACACACACACACACACACACACAUGCACCCACACAACAUGUUUUCAUGACUUUUACAAAACUUUUACAAAAACAUGUCACAAGGCAUACUAAGGUGAUUUAUUUGUGAAUGCUGUUUUGGAUUGAUUUGCUAGUGUUUUUGCUAUAGACCUGUCUGCACCAACUGUGUUAAGAUCUGGCUUAAUUUGUGUUUUGCCGCAUUCCCCUCAUGUCUGUCAUCACCAUGCUCCACAGGGUGAUUAGGUGUGAAUUUCUUUUUGCCGUAAGGCUGGGGUGGGAUACGGGCUCGGGAAUACAGGCAUGGUUGGUGGGAGAGGGGACUUGUCAUGAUGUAUUUAAGCCUGUGGUAAGGGUGAAGGUUUUGGGGUUGUUGAUGCCAAUGAGCCAGUGGCUGAGUGGAGUAAGUCACUCCCUCUGUUUCUCAGAGGCUGCCGGGUUUGAGCCUAGUGUUAG